ensembl:lncRNA
CACAGUUUCCGUACUACUCUUAUUUGAACAUGCAGUGGGUUAAUUGUCAAACCUGUAAUUAGUAUAUUAUACAUUGCACAAAUAUAAUAGCAAUCUCUCCAUUUUCUUUUUUGCAAAAGUCAAUUUCAUACAUACCAAAACAACGGGAUAAACUCGGAUCUCUUUUCUGUAGGAUCUCUCUAUUCUGUUGCUUAUCCUACUGAGUGUAGCAGUCCGAGCGUUUUAUUGCUUAGCUUAGUUGUUGUUGUUGUUGUUUUCCAAACGCAGUUACUGCUUUGGGCCAUUUCCUGCGUGAGGAAUCACGAAGUGUGAAACAGAAAACAGACGGAGUGGAUCUCUAACGUUAGAACCCAGCACUUUUGGGAAAGUGGCCUUAGAUAUAUUUCAGUGUAAAUGUGUUUGAAGCAGACAGCCGAACUUUAAGUCCUAGGUGGUAGAGAUAAUAGCCAGUCUCCUGCAACAUGUUUUUUUCAGGGAGAUAAGAAUGUUAAUGAGGUCAGAGAGCAGUUCAGUGAUGGCAUAAUAAGUCAUGCAAAUACUGCACUGGAGAAAAGAUGAAAAGGUGGAUUCUUUACCAGCUGAGCCACCAGGAAAGCCCAAGAAUACUGGAGUGGAUAGCCUAUCCCUUCUCCGGCAGAUCUUCCCAACCCAGGAAUCGAACUGGAGUCUUCUGCAUUGCAGGUGGAUUCUUUACCAACUGAGCUAUCAGGGAAGCCCCAUAAAGAGUAUACAUGUUUUUAAUUCCAACCAAGAAGAAAAACUGGAGGAAAUAACAGGUAAAAAUUGAAGCAACUCCAAUACCCUUAGGUCAUUUACUUCCACUUCCUCAAAGAAUAUUGGUCACUUGACUAUUUCAGCUCUGUUCAUGAAUGUGUUUCUUCAAUUAUGUUAUAACCUUGGGAUUCCC